AUUGAACGCUGGCGGCAUGCUUUACACAUGCAAGUCGAACGGUAACAGGGUGCUUGCACCGCUGACGAGUGGCGAACGGGUGAGUAAUGCGUCGGAACGCACCGAGUAAUGGGGGAUAACGCAGCGAAAGCUGUGCUAAUACCGCAUACGCUCUGAGGAGGAAAGCAGGGGACCUUCGGGCCUUGCGUUAUUCGAGCGGCCGACGUCUGAUUAGCUAGUAGGUGAGGUAAGAGCUCACCUAGGCGACGAUCAGUAGCGGGUCUGAGAGGAUGAUCCGCCACACUGGGACUGAGACACGGCCCAGACUCCUACGGGAGGCAGCAGUGGGGAAUUUUGGACAAUGGGCGCAAGCCUGAUCCAGCCAUGCCGCGUGUCUGAAGAAGGCCUCGGUUGUAAGACUCUGUCGGAAGGGAC
rnacentral:rRNA from 1 species